rnacentral:rRNA from 1 species
UUCUUGAAAAUUAAAAAAUUUGGCGGUAUUUUAGUCUUUUCAGAGGAACCUGUCCUGUAAUUGAUAGUCCACGAUAAAAUGAACUUAUUCUAUAAAUUUAUAUAUCGUCGUAGUUUGAAUAUUUUAGAAUUUAAUAUUAUCAGAUCAAGGUGUAGUUUAUGGAUAAGGAGAGAUGGGUUACAAUUUAAUUAUUAAUUGAAUUGGAUUUGAAAGUAAGCUCUAAAAUAUGUACAUAUUGCCCGUCGCUUUUGUUUUUAAAUGAAAUAAGUCGUAACAAAGUAGAUUUACUGGAAAGUGAAUCUAGAACAAAUUAGAGCUUGUUAAGUAUUUUAUUUACACUAAAAUGAAAAUUAUUAAUUUAAUUCAAUUUGAAUAAAAAAAUUUAUUAAUUUUAUUUUGUUUAAUUAUUUAAAAAAAGAAAUUUUUUGUUUUAUUAAAUAUUUGAAAUAAUUUAAUAAUAGUGAAUUAGUAUUGUGAAAGAAAAUAUUAAAUAAUUAAAAGAAAAAUUAAAGUUUUGUACCUGUGUAUCAGGGUUAAUUAAUUUAAGUUUCUCGAAUUUAAAAGAGUUAAUUUUAUUGUGAAAUAAAUAUUUAAAAUAAAUAAUUAGAAAUGAAACGUUAUUCGUUUUUAAAUAUAUCUAGUUUUUAAAGAAAUAAAUUUAAUUUAAUUAUUAAUAUAUAAAAUUUUUAGGGAUAAACUUAAAUAUAAAUUAUAAUAAUUUAAUUAAAAUAUAAAAGUUAUAAAAUUAAAAUUUUUUAUAAAUAAUAAAUUGUUAUAAAUAAUAAAUUUAAAUUAUUUAUUUAAAUAAUUUUAUUAAUUAUGAAUAAAAUGUAAUAAUGAUUAAAUUAGUAAGGUUAUUUUAAGGAACUCGGCAAAUAUAUUUUUCACCUGUUUAAUAAAAACAUGUCCUUUUGAUUAUAAUUUAAGGUCUAAUCUGCCCACUGAUUAAAUGGCCGCGGUAUUUUGACCGUGCAAAGGUAGCAUAAUAAUUAGUUUUUUAAUUGGAAGCUGGUAUGAAUGAUUGAAUGAGAAAAUGACUGUCUUUAGAAUUUUAUUUUUAAGUAAAAAAGCUUAAAUAAUAUUAAAAGACGAGAAGACCCUAUAGAGUUUUUUUGUUGGGGUGAUAGAAAAAUUAAAUAAACUUUUUUUAUAAAUGAAUAAAUGAUCCAUGAUUAUAAGAUUAAAUUACCUUAGGGAUAACAGCGUAAUUUUUUUUGAGAGUUCUUAUCG